UACGAAGGGUGCAAGCGUUAAUCGGAAUUACUGGGCGUAAAGCGCGCGUAGGUGGUUUGUUAAGUUGGAUGUGAAAGCCCCGGGCGAAACCUGGGAACUGCCUCCAAAACUGGAAAGCUAGAGUAUGGCAGAGGGUGGGGGAAUUUCCUGUGUAGCGGUGAAAUGCGUAGAGAUAGGAAGGAACACCAGUGGAGAAGGCGACAAACUGGGCUAAUACUGACACUGAGGUGCGAAAGCGUGGGGAGCAAACAGGAUUAGAUACCCAGGUAGUCC
rnacentral:rRNA from 1 species